GAAUCAAAGAUCCAAAAUCUAUAUGUGAAAUGUGUUAAGUUCUUAGCACACCACAUGUUAAACUCCCUGUACAAAACCACCAACAACUCUAGAAAAUUCCCUUUAUUUUUUUUCUCGAGAAACAAACAAUUCACGAAACCCUAACUUCCACACUGGAUUCAUAAGAAACAUAAAAAUGGCUGUCUCAGAGGAGGAGUGCUCGAAUGCCAAGUCCCGAUCAUCGUCUCCUUCUGCAACAUUAAAUGGCACGCACUACCUGGCCAAGUGUGUUCUUCGAGGAAGCGCUGUUCUUCAGGUCGUGUAUGGUCACUUCCGUUCGUCUUCAUCCAACGACAUCAUAUUUGGCAAAGAGACAUCUGUAGAGUUGGUAAUAAUUGGCGAAGAGGGAAUUGUAGAGUCUGUUUGUGAGCAGCCCAUAUUUGGCACUAUUAAGGAUCUUGCUGUUAUCCCUUCGAAUGGAAAAUUACAUGCACGAAGCCCGCAGGAAAAAGACCUCUUGGCUGUUGUUUCUGAUUCUGGGAAGCUAUCCUUUCUCACGUUUUGCAAUGAAAUGCUCAGGUUUUUUCCAUUGACGCAAGUGCAACUUUCUAGUCCUGGAAACUCAAGGCAUCAACUAGGAAGAAUGCUGGCUGUUGAUUCCAGUGGCUGCUUUAUUGCUAGCAGUGCAUAUGUGGACCAAUUGGCUUUGUUCUCCCUUUCUGUCUCUGGUGGCAGUGACCUCAUUGAUAAGCGAAUAUUUUAUCCCCCUGAAAAUGAGGGGCAAACAAGUUUCACCAGAAGUAUCCACAAGCCAAGUAUAUCUGGUACAAUAUGGAGCAUGUGCUUUAUUUCAAGGGAUUCUUGUCAAUCAAGUAAGGAGCAUAAUCCUGUACUAGCCAUUAUUCUAAAUAGGAGGGGUGCGCUUCUAAAUGAACUUCUGUUAUUGGAAUGGAACAUUGGAGAACAUGCUAUAAAUGUCAUUUCGUUGUAUGUUGAAGCUGGACCAAUUGCACAUGACAUCAUUGAAGUUCCUCAUUCUAAUGGAUUUGCAUUUCUGUUCAGGGUUGGUGAUGCUCUCUUAAUGGAUCUUAGAGAUGCUCACAACCCCUGCUGUAUCUAUAGAACAAGCUUAAAUUUCUUGCCCACUGCAGUGGAGGAGCAGAAUUUUGUGGAAGAGUCAUGUAGAGUUCAUGAUGUUGAUGAUGAUGGUUUGUUCAAUGUUGCUGCAUGUGCUUUACUGGAGCUUCGAGAUUAUGACCCUAUGUGUAUAGACAGUGAAGGCAGUAAUAUAAAAUCAACCUCAAAUUACAUGUGCUCUUGGAGUUGGGGACCAGAAAGUGAUAAAAAUCCAAGGAUGAUAUUUUGUAUAGAUACAGGAGAAUUUUUCAUGAUUGAAAUAUCUUUUGAUUCAGAGGGGCUUAAGGUUAACCUUUCUGAUUGUCUGUAUAAGGGUCAACCAUGCAAGUCACUUUUGUGGGUUGAAAGUGGCUUCCUGGCUGCUAUUGUAGAGAUGGGAGAUGGGAUUGUUCUGAAAGUGGAAGAUGGAAGGCUACUAUAUACCAGCCCCAUUCAAAAUAUUGCACCGAUCUUGGAUAUGUUAGUUGUGGAUUGCCAUGAUGAGAAACGUGAUCAAAUGUUUGCCUGUUGUGGGGUGGCUCCAGAAGGCUCAUUAAGGAUUAUUAGGACUGGCAUAAGUGUCGAAAAGCUUGUGAAGACUGCAUCUAUUUAUCAAGGCAUUACUGGUACCUGGACACUUCGAAUGAAAUUGAACGACCUUUAUCAUUCUUUUCUUGUGAUAUCUUUUGUUGAAGAGACCAGGGUGCUAUCAGUUGGGGUAAGCUUUACUGAUGUGACUGAUUCGGUUGGCUUUCAGCCUGACGUAUGUACUUUAGCGUGUGGACUUGUAGGUGAUGGUUUGCUUGUCCAAAUUCAUCAAACUGCUGUUCAGCUUUGUUUGCCCACCAAGAUUGCGCAUGCUGAAGGUAUACCUCUGUCUUCUCCUGUUUGCACAUCUUGGUUCCCUGAUAAUACGAGUAUCAGUUUGGGGGCUGUCGGACAUGAUUUGAUUGUUGUUUCUACUUCUAAUCCAUGCUUUUUAUACAUUCUUGGGAUCAGAUUACUUUCGACUUAUCAUUAUGAGAUAUAUGAAUUGCAACAUUUGAGAUUGCUGAAUGAGUUAUCCUGCAUUUCGAUACCUCAAAAGCAUUUUGAGCGAAAACGAUUAAGUUCUAGCAACCUUGUGGAAGAUAACUCUGGGCCUACCCUUCCAAUUGGCAUGGACAUUGGUAUUACUUUUGUUGUUGGCACACAUAGGCCUUCUGUUGAAGUUCUGUCUUUUGUGCCACAUGAAGGUUUAAAAGUUCUUGCUUGUGGGACAAUUUCAUUAACAAAUACUCUGGGAACUGCUGUUAGUGGUUGCAUCCCUCAAGAUGUAAGGCUUGUACUGGUUGAUCGGUCUUAUGUUCUUUCUGGUUUGAGGAAUGGAAUGCUGCUUCGGUUUGAGUGGCCCCCAGCCUCUUCCAUGUCAUCAUUAGAAUUUCCGCACUAUGGAUGUCCUAUUGAUUCCUGUAUGGUUAAUGUUGGUGGUGCUUUAUCAAAUAUGUCUGCGAUGUCUUUUGAGCCUCAAACAUGUGCUGUUGAAUUAAGGAGCAAGGCAAUGGAUGAACUUCCUGUUAAUUUACAGUUGAUUUCCACCCGUCGUAUUGGCAUUACCCCUGUUUUCCUUGUUCCUCUGAGUGAUUCCCUUGACGCAGACAUGAUUGCGCUCAGUGAUAGACCAUGGUUAUUGCAAACUGCAAAGCACAGUCUCUCUUAUUCAUCAAUUUCAUUUCAGCCUUCAACUCAUGCAACACCUGUAUGCUCAGCUGAAUGCCCAAAGGGGAUCUUAUUUGUUGCAGAAAACAGUCUACAUUUGGUUGAGAUGGUACAUAGUAAGAGGCUCAAUGUUCAGAAGUUUCACCUUGGUGGUACCCCGCGUAAGGUCCUAUACCAUAGUGAAAGUAGGUUGUUACUUGUGAUGAGAACUGAACUUAGCAACGACACAUGUUCAUCUGACAUAUGUUGUGUUGACCCCAUCAGUGGUUCAAUAGUAUCAUCUUUUAAACUUGAACUUGGAGAAACAGGAAAAUCAAUGGAAUUGGUGAGGGUUGGAAAUGAACAGGUUCUGGUGGUGGGAACUAGUCUUUCUUCUGGUCCAGCUAUAAUGCCCAGUGGUGAAGCUGAAAGUACCAAGGGCCGGUUGAUAGUCCUCUGCCUUGAACACUUGCAAAAUUCAGAUAGUGGCUCAAUGACAUUCUGUUCAAAGGCAGGGUCAUCUUCUCAACGAACUUCACCAUUUCGGGAAGUUGCUGGUUACACAGCAGAACAGCUAUCGAGCAGUAGCCUUUGCAGUAGUCCAGAUGGUAGCUGUGAUGCCAAACUUGAAGAAACCGAGGCUUGGCAGUUACGGUUGGCAUAUGCGGCCAAGUGGCCUGGAAUGGCACUUGCAAUCUGCCCAUAUCUUGAUCGUUACUUUUUGGCGUCUGCUGGUAGUGCUUUCUAUGUAUGUGGUUUUCCAAAUGAUAAUCCCCAAAGAUUGAGAAAGUUUGCAAUAGCAAGGACACGUUUUACUAUAAUAUCAUUGGCUGCACAUUUGACUAGAAUUGCUGUUGGCGAUUGCCGUGAUGGUAUCCUUUUCUAUUCUUACCAUGAGGAUACUAGAAAACUGGAGCAGCUUUAUUGUGACCCAUCACAGAGAUUAGUUGCCGAUUGUAUCCUCAUGGAUGAAGAUACAGCUGUGGUUUCAGAUCGUAAGGGAAGCAUUGCUGUGUUAUCAUGUUCAAAUCUUACAGAAAGUAAUGCAAGUCCAGAAAGCAACUUGACAUUGAGUUGUGCGUAUUAUAUGGGGGAGAUAGCCAUGAGCAUUAGGAAGGUAAAUCUUCCUGCCACAUAUUUGUGGUCCAGAGGCAUUUGGGAACAUUUUCAUAUAAGCUCCCCGCUGAAGAUGUGUUGAUAGGAUUUGAUGGCAUAGGUGCAAAUAUUGAUGCUUCAAACAACACUAUCAUGGCCAGUACACUUUUGGGAAGCAUAAUAAUUUUCAUUCCCUUGACAAGAGAAGAGUAUGAACUUCUAGAGGCAGUUCAAGCAAGACUUGUGGUUCAUCCUUUAACUGCUCCUAUUUUAGGAAAUGAUCACAAAGAGUUUCGUAGCCGUGAAAACCCGGUUGGGGUACCCAAAAUACUUGAUGGUGAUGUUCUGGCUCAGUUCUUGGAGCUAACAAGUAUGCAGCAAGAGGCAAUAUUGUCAUUACCAAUUGACCAGCUAGAUACUAUUAAAACAGGUUUAAAAUCACCUCAAUUACCUAUCCCGGUUAAUCAGGUUGUGCAACUCCUUGAGCGGGUUCAUUAUGCUCUCAAUUAAAUAUGCUUGUCACUUCACGAGAUUUGUUCGCUGUGACUGGAGUUGAACAAUUUCAAAACCAAAGAACCACUACCAAUUUUGGAGGGGCUCAUGUUUCUGGUUGCCCCUUGAUACUCGUACAGCCAAGUUCCGCUAUCGAUAUGCAAACUGGGCUGGAAGAUGCAAUCUGUUAUGUUGAAGCUAAUCGAUUCAACGGACGUGAUGCCAACCAUUGAUUAUUAUUUUAGAGCUGCACGUCCCAACCAUUGAUUAUUAUUUUAGAGCUGAUCGAGAAACAGAAAGGGGACUCGACACAUAAAACAAGGCUGAAGUCGUUUACCUUUGGAGCCUGAUAAUGCGCUCUGCAUAUAUUUGUCUAAUCUUGUAUCAUAGUUUAUUCAUAUUUCAUGUGGUGUGGAAAAGCCGUGGGAGGAAAGUGAUUUGUAGUUCAAUGUGCAAUUCUUGCUCUAAAAUUAUAGACACCGGUCCUUGUAAAGUUCUUCCCUACAAAGACAAUAAUAAAAAAAAAAGUUCUAUAUA